rnacentral:rRNA from 1 species
GAUGAACGCUGGCGGCGUGCCUAAUACAUGCAAGUCGAGCGAACGGACGAGAAGCUUGCUUCUCUGAUGUUAGCGGCGGACGGGUGAGUAACACGUGGAUAACCUACCUAUAAGACUGGGAUAACUUCGGGAAACCGGAGCUAAUACCGGAUAAUAUUUUGAACCGCAUGGUUCAAAAGUGAAAGACGGUCUUGCUGUCACUUAUAGAUGGAUCCGCGCUGCAUUAGCUAGUUGGUAAGGUAACGGCUUACCAAGGCAACGAUGCAUAGCCGACCUGAAAGGGUGAUCGGCCACACGGGAACUGAGACACGGUCCAGACUCCUGCGGGAGGCAGCAGUAGGGAAUCUUCCGCAAUGGUCGAAAGCCUGGCGGAGCAGCGCCGCGUGAGUUAUAAAGGUCUUCGGAUCGUAAAACUCUGUUAUUAGGGAAGAACAUAUUUGUAAGUAACUGUGCACAUCGUGACGGUACCUAAUCAGAAAGCCACGGCUAACUACGUG